CAUUUAUAUUCUGUUCACCUAACCUGGAAUCUACACUUCGGAAAUUCUAGAGAAAGUACCUUUAUAAAAGUACAUGUCUGAAUUACCAAGAGCGGAUAUCUUCUCUUAGCUGGGUUGCGUUGUCUGCACACACGACAGGAAUAUCAGGCGCAAACACCCUGAA